rnacentral:tRNA from 1 species
ACUAUUUUGGCAGAUGUUAGUGCAAUAGAUUUAGAAUCUAUUUAUGUUGAUUGAUUCAAUAAUUAGUA